CGCCGGUAAGGUGAUAUGAACCGUUAUAACCGGCGAUACCCGAAUGGGGAAACCCAGUGUGACUCGUCACACUAUCAUUAACUGAAUCCAUAGGUUAAUGAGGCGAACCGGGGGAACUGAAACAUCUAAGUACCCCGAGGAAAAGAAAUCAACCGAGAUUCCCCCAGUAGCGGCGAGCGAACGGGGAGGAGCCCAGAGCCUGAAUCAGCAUGUGUGUUAGUGGAAGCGUCUGGAAAGGCGCGCGAUACAGGGUGACAGCCCCGUACACAAAAGCGCAUGUGCUGUGAGCUCGAUGAGUAGGGCGGGACACGUGGUAUCCUGUCUGAAUAUGGGGGGACCAUCCUCCAAGGCUAAAUACUCCUGACUGACCGAUAGUGAACCAGUACCGUGAGGGAAAGGCGAAAAGAACCCCGGCGAGGGGAGUGAAAAAGAACCUGAAACCGUGUACGUACAAGCAGUGGGAGCCCCACCACCAAAGCAUUUGCUGUACCGCGUUGACGGAGCGAAGCGACGUCAAACCGAUAAAACAGCAGUGUAAAGUGAGCCGCAGGGCGCUUUGCGCGACAGCGCAAAGGCAGGCGGUUUCGCGUAGCGAAAGCGAAUGCUUUGGGGUGGGGUGACUGCGUACCUUUUGUAUAAUGGGUCAGCGACUUAUAUUCUGUAGCAAGGUUAACCGAAUAGGGGAGCCGGAGGGAAACCGAGUCUUAAUUGGGCGUUAAGUUGCAGGGUAUAGACCCGAAACCCGGUGAUCUAGCCAUGGGCAGGUUGAAGGUUGGGUAACACUAACUGGAGGACCGAACCGACUAAUGUUGAAAAAUUAGCGGAUGACCUGUGGCUGGGGGUGAAAGGCCAAUCAAACCGGGAGAUAGCUGGUUCUCCCCGAAAGCUAUUUAGGUAGCGCCUCGUGAAUUCAUCUCCGGGGGUAGAGCACUGUUUCGGCUAGGGGGCCAUCCCGGCUUACCAACCCGAUGCAAACUGCGAAUACCGGAGAAUGUUAUCACGGGAGACACACGGCGGGUGCUAACGUCCGUCGUGAAGAGGGAAACAACCCAGACCGCCAGCUAAGGUCCCAAAGUCAUGGUUAAGUGGGAAACGAUGUGGGAAGGCCCAGACAGCCAGGAUGUUGGCUUAGAAGCAGCCAUCAUUUAAAGAAAGCGUAAUAGCUCACUGGUCGAGUCGGCCUGCGCGGAAGAUGUAACGGGGCUAAACCAUGCACCGAAGCUGCGGCAGCGACACUGUGUGUUGUUGGGUAGGGGAGCGUUCUGUAAGCCUGUGAAGGUGUGUCGUGAGGCAUGCUGGAGGUAUCAGAAGUGCGAAUGCUGACAUAAGUAACGAUAAAGCGGGUGAAAAGCCCGCUCGCCGGAAGACCAAGGGUUCCUGUCCAACGUUAAUCGGGGCAGGGUGAGUCGACCCCUAAGGCGAGGCCGAAAGGCGUAGUCGAUGGGAAACGGGUUAAUAUUCCCGUACUUGGUGUUACUGCGAAGGGGGGACGGAGAAGGCUAUGUUGGCCGGG
rnacentral:rRNA from 1 species